rnacentral:rRNA from 1 species
GGAGGUAGUGACAAUAAAUCACAAUGCGGAACAAUGUUUUGCAAUUGGAUUGAGAACAACGUACAAACCUUAUCGAUAAACAAUUGGAGGGCAAGUCUGGUGCCAGCAGCCGCGGUAAUUCCAGCUCCAAUAGCGUAUAUUAACGUUGUUGCAGUUAAAAAGCUCGUAGUUGAAAUGAAGGGUAGUUGUGUAAUGAAUACAUUCGUGUAUUUUGUUAUUCUACUACCCUCCUUCUAAAUUCGAUAUAUGAGUAUUAAUUUACUUGUAUAUGGUUUUAGACAUUUACUGUGAGAAAAUUAGAGUGUUCAAAGCAGGCAUUUGCUUGAAUAUAUUAGCAUGGAAUAAUCAUGUAUGAUUUUCAUGAUGUAUUUGAUUGGUUUGGUUGAUGAGAAUAAGAUUAAAAGGGACAGUUGGGGGUAUUCAUAUUCAAUAGUCAGAGGUGAAAUUCUCGGAUUUAUGGAAGAUGAACAAGUGCGAAAGCA